rnacentral:tRNA from 1 species
GGAGAUGUAGUUCAAUGGUAGAGUUCUUGCCUAAGCCUGCAUGAGGCUCUGGAUUCAAUUUCCAGUAUCACAC